GAUGAAGAACGUAGCGAAAUGCGAUAAGUAAUGCGAAUUGCAGAAUUCAGUGAGUCAUCGAAUCUUUGAACGCACAUUGCGCCCCCUGGUAUUCCGGGGGGCAUGCCUGUUCGAGCGUCAUUUCACCACUCAAGCCUCGCUUGGUAUUGGGCAACGCGGUCCGCCGCGUGCCUCAAAUCGACCGGCUGGGUCUUCUGUCCCCUAAGCGUUGUGGAAACUAUUCGCUAAAGGGUGUUCGGGAGGCUACGCCGUAAAACAACCCCAUUUCUAAGGUUGACCUCGGAUCAGGUAGGGAUACCCGCUGAACUUAAGCAUAUCAAUAAGCGGAGGA
rnacentral:misc_RNA from 1 species